rnacentral:rRNA from 1 species
UGGACGAAGUCUGACGGAGCAACGCCGCGUGAACGAUGAAGGCUUUCGGGUCGUAAAGUUCUGUUGUCAGGGAAGAACAAGUACCGGAGUAACUGCCGGUACCUUGACGGUACCUGACCAGAAAGCCACGGCUAACUACGUGCCAGCAGCCGCGGUAAUACGUAGGUGGCAAGCGUUGUCCGGAAUUAUUGGGCGUAAAGCGCGCGCAGGCGGUUCCUUAAGUCUGAUGUGAAAGCCCCCGGCUCAACCGGGGAGGGUCAUUGGAAACUGGGGAACUUGAGUGCAGAAGAGGAGAGCGGAAUUCCACGUGUAGCGGUGAAAUGCGUAGAGAUGUGGAGGAACACCAGUGGCGAAGGCGGCUCUCUGGUCUGUAACUGACGCUGAGGCGCGAAAGCGUGGGGAGCGAACAGGAUUAGAUACCCUGGUAGUCCACGCCGUAAACGAUGAGUGCUAAGUGUUAGAGGGUUUCCGCCCUUUAGUGCUGCAGCAAACGCAUUAAGCACUCCGCCUGGGGAGUACGGCCGCAAGGCUGAAACUCAAAGGAAUUGACGGGGGCCCGCACAAGCGGUGGAGCAUGUGGUUUAAUUCGAAGCAACGCGAAGAACCUUACCAGGUCUUGACAUCCUCUGACAACCCUAGAGAUAGGGCGUUCCCCUUCGGGGGACAGAGUGACAGGUGGUGCAUGGUUGUCGUCAGCUCGUGUCGUGAGAUGUUGGGGUUAAGUCCCGCAACGAGCGCAACCCUUGAUCUUAGUUGCCAGCAUUCAGUUGGGCACUCUAAGGUGACUGCCGGUGACAAACCGGAGGAAGGGUUGGGGGAUGACGUCAAA